rnacentral:rRNA from 1 species
CCUACGGGUGGCAGCAGUGAGGAAUAUUGGUCAAUGGACGAGAGUCUGAACCAGCCAAGUAGCGUGAAGGAUGACUGCCCUAUGGGUUGUAAACUUCUUUUAUAUGGGAAUAAAAUGUUCCACGUGUGGGAUUUUGUAUGUACCAUAUGAAUAAGGAUCGGCUAACUCCGUGCCAGCAGCCGGGGUAAUACGGAGGAUCCGAGCGUUAUCCGGAUUUAUUGGGUUUAAAGGGAGCGUAGGUGGAUUGUUAAGUCAGUUGUGAAAGUUUGCGGCUCAACCGUAAAAUUGCAGUUGAAACUGGCAGUCUUGAGUACAGUAGAGGUGGGCGGAAUUCGUGGUGUAGCGGUGAAAUGCUUAGAUAUCACGAAGAACUCCGAUUGCGAAGGCAGUUCACUGGACUGCAACUGACACUGAGGCUCGAAAGUGUGGGUAUCAAACAGGAUUAGAUACCCUUGUAGUC